GUCGUCUUCAACCUUUCCCAUAGAACAUCAGUCAUUGAUUGAGAGAGAAAAACGACCUUGGACGCUCCGCCAUUCCCCUUGAACACCAGUCGUCAUCUUCGAUCUUCCCAGACAACACCAGAUUCCGCCACUCCCGUGUGUAUUAAUUCCUCUGUUAUUGUUGUUCUGGAAUUCUAUGUAAAAUCCAUCUAUUUCUUCAAUUUCGCAAGUGUUUCCUUUGAAAUUCUCCAAUCCCUGCUCUGGAAUUUGUCAAUUUCGCAAAAGUAUUUCUUUAAUUCCUGUUCUGGAAUUCUUCAAUUUCGCAAGUGUUUCCUGUGUUUUUGUGCAUCCAUCUAUAUAUAUUUAAAAUCCAUGUAAUUUUUUAUUUUUGAAUGCAUAACUAAUGAAGCGCGACCUUCACCUUCUCCUUUUGAAUGCCAUACUAUGAAUAAUAGAUAAAGUUUCACCAAAACUCAGUCAUAAAAAUUUCCACGUGUUUUAUUAAUUCCUUACUUGUGAUCACUAUUUUAUAUAUAUACAUAUUUUAUCUGAGCGCGAGUUUGAGCUCAUCCGAUCUCUUGUAUUCUUCUUGAUUGCACAGUUUCCGGCUUGUUGCCGGACGAAGAUAUCCUUCCUCCUCUUCGAGAAGCACUUAAUUGAGCUCUUCAAGAAAGUUUGAUAAGACUCAUUUUUUGAGCUUUAUUAUUCAUGAAUUGAUCCUUGAGCUUUACGUGAUCUCGAUUAAUUUUCUCUAUCAAUUGAUUUGUUGAUGAAUUAACCUCUUUUCUUGCACUAUGAUCAGUAAACUUCCUGUUGUAAGUUUAAAUUGUAGUGCUUAAAAACUUUGGACAGCUCGCAAGAUAGAGAAAUGGUUAGCAGGCCAAGACAUAUUUGAACUUCCCUUCCCCAUUUUCUAGUUUUAUGUUUUGAACUUCUAUAUUUAAUUUAACAAUCUUAAUAAGAGAGAACUUGGCUACUAUUGAUAGGAAUAGUACUGUAGAAAAAAUAGUGCCCAUGGUAUUUUCGUAAUUGUUGUUUCAUUUGUGGGUUUUUGCAAAAAAAAAAAAAUAUCUGUUUUAUCUUCAAUACCUCUGCAGAUUUUUCUUCUUCUACUUUCACUUUUUACUUUCUAUGUUUUCAGUUUUGCAACAAAAAAAACGAGAUUUCCUGUCAAUCUUUGUCCGGUGAAAGUGGAUAAUCUGAUCAUAAUCCAACAAAAAAUCACACUAGACAAAUCCACUACAUCAACAACACAAGUAGGUGAGUUUGAUUUCUGCACCCCGCUUUUUAUCAUUAAUUUUUUAAAUAACCCUAGAAUUUUUACAAAAAACAGAGCUCCGCAUAACACAAUCGAAUUAGAGUCUUGUGGUUGGGUUUCUUGCUUUGUUGUUUGCUUUGAGGGCGCCGAUCGGGAACAGAGAGUCUUGGCUGAGUUUUUUGUGUCGUUGGUCCAUCGCCAGAAGCACAGGUAUGUUAUCUUAAUUCUGGUUUACAGAAUCCAAUACGUCUAUUCUCUUUCUUGUGGAAUACAGAUUUACAAUGCUUGCUUAUUUGCUAUUGUCAAAAUAAAAUCAGAAUUAGUUGUAUCAAUUGAAAAUAUCACAAGAUAAAUACAAAACUUGCUAUUAGGGCAGUUUGGUCGAAGCAGAAACAUGUCGGAGGCCCUCCUCUAUCACUGAUACAGAAGCUCGACACUAAUUAUCGAAGGCAUGAACCAAAUGACGAAAAGGUAAUUAAAGAGAUGCGAGAGAUUGUGGAUAUUGUGAGGGAUAAGAAAUUGGUAGAGGGGAGAAUCCUAAAUUUUUUGGUAUGUGACCUUGUCGACGUAGCUGAUGAUGCUCUCUACCUUUUCAAACAAGACGUAACCUAUCCUUGGAACUUUGACUCCGUGCAUAGUUGGAUGGGAGAGAUAAAAAAACGCAUGCUUAAACUGGGAGAUGAUGGGGCAAAGACAGAGUCCAACAUGAGAUCAUCACACGACACGUCCCGACUUAGGUGUACGCGAUGAAGAUGUUCAAAAGAUGAAACCUUUGGAUUCUAAGCAGAGUUGGCAAUUGUUUCUGAAAACAAUAAAUCAUGGCAAUAAAUUGACGGGUGAGCACAAAUUCCCUAUGUCCUUGAAGCAUAUGGCAGAACAAAUGUUGAGAAAAUGUGGCGGUCUGCCAUUAGGUAUAAAAGAGGUAGGAAAGCAGUUAGCGGAAAAGAAAGUCUCGGGAGGGAGUGAAUGGGAACAACUUCUUGAAUCAGUUGAUUUUGGUUCAACAUUGAAGUUUUUAGAACCAUUUUAUCAUAAGUUGGAUCCCAAACUGGACUCAUGUUUCUUGUCUAUGGCCUUCUUUAAGGAAAAUAUAACUUUGAGGAAAGAAAAGUUGAUACAGAUUUGGGUUGCUGGAGGAGUAGUAGUACAGGCUUCAGAGAAUAUGACUGUGGACUAUAUUUAGAUGGUUUAGUCAAUGAAUCCUUUAUUGAAGUCGGGGACAAGAGCACGGAGUAUGACUUGAAUGCUCUACUACACAUGCUAUCCAUUCAAAAAGCAGAGCAGAAACUAUGUUUUGAGAUCCUAAGGAACAACGGAAAUAAUCGACCCUCUGAGAGUCCUCGUCAUCACCGUGUUAUCAUUUGUAGCAGAGAUAAGUUCAACUACUCCACGGAUCAAGAUAAACAUCUUGUGUCUCUCUUCUUCCAUGGAGCACGGUUUCUUGUGUCGUUGUCUGCAUUGAGAGUACUGGCCGCUGUCGGCGUCGGCUUUAGCUGAGUUGUGGCUCAGUUUUUUGUGUCGUUGUCUGCGUUGAGAGUACUGCNGUCGAAGCAGAAACAUGUCGGAGGCCCUCCUCUAUCACUGAUACAGAAGCUCGACACUAAUUAUCGAAGGCAUGAACCAAAUGACGAAAAGGUAAUUAAAGAGAUGCGAGAGAUUGUGGAUAUUGUGAGGGAUAAGAAAUUGGUAGAGGGGAGAAUCCUAAAUUUUUUGGUAUGUGACCUUGUCGACGUGGCUGAUGAUGCUCUCUACCUUUUCAAACAAGACGUAACAUAUCCUUGGAAAUAUAACUCAAUCAAUAAUCGAAUCACAAAGAUAAAAACGACAACCUUAAACUGGGAGAUGAUGGGGCAGAGACAGAGUCCAACAUGAGAUCAUCACACGACACGUCCCGACUUAGGUGUACGCGAUGAAGAUGUUCAUAAGAUGAAACCUUUGGAUUCUAAGCAGAGUUGGCAAUUGUUUCUCAAAAACAUAAAUCAUGGCAAUAAAUUGACGGGUGAGCACAAAUUCCCUAUGUCCUUGAAGCAUAUGGCAGAACAAAUGUUGAGAAAAUGUGGCGGUCUGCCAUUAGGUAUAAAAGAGGUAGGAAAGCAGUUAGCGGAAAAGAAAGUCUCGGGAGGGAGUGAAUGGGAACAACUUCUUGAAUCAGUUGAUUUUGGUUCAACAUUGAAGUUAUUAGAACCAUUUUAUCAUAAGUUGGAUCCCAAACUAGACUCAUGUUUCUUGUCUAUGGCCUUCUUUAAGGAAAAUAUAACUUUGAGGAAAGAAAAGUUGAUACAGAUUUGGGUUGCUGGAGGAGUAGUAGUACAGGCUUCAGAGAAUAUGACUGUGGACUAUAUUUAGAUGGUUUAGUCAAUGAAUCCUUUAUUGAAGUUGGGGACAAGAGCACGGAGUAUCACUUGAAUGCUCUACUACACAUGCUAUCCAUUCAAAAAGCAGAGCAGAAACUAUGUUUUGAGAUCCUAAGGAACAACGGAAAUAAUCGACCCUCUGAGAGUCCUCGUCAUCACCGUGUUAUCAUUUGUAGCAGAGAUAAGUUCAACUACUCCACGGAUCAAGAUAAACAUCUUGUGUCUCUCUUCUUCCAUGGAGCACGGUUUCUUGUGUCGUUGUCUGCAUUGAGAGUACUGGCCGCUGUCGGCGUCGGCAUCGGCUUUAGCUGAGUUGUGGCUCAGUUUCUUGUGUCGUUGUCUGCGUUGAGAGUACUGCCCAGUGUCGGCAUCGGCAUCAGCAGCAGCUUUCUUAGCUGCUCAUCAGCAUCAACCAUUUAAUUUUUAAUCACAGCCGUUUAAAUACUAGUGAUCUAUGGUUAAUAGUUGGUCUUAUUUUAUAGACUUAGAGUGGUUCAUUGAAUAGCGGCACCCUAUAUAUUUGAAUCUAUUUAUUUGAUCUAACUGUUAUUCUUUGUUUUGUAAUUAAAAUGUUUUUGUUACUUACUGCCAUGAUCUAAUUAGGUUGUCAAAAGAAAUGGAAGAGCGUAUGAUUCCAAUGAAUAAGAUUCUAACAGGAUUGAAGGAAUGGAAAUGCAAGGUGAGAGUGAUCAAGAAGCUAGGAGCUAAGCAAGCUAACAAUAAUCUUAAUAAAUUUCAGAAACUAAUCUUGGGUGAUGGCUUGGUAAAUUAAUGAGUAUCCCUUACAUUUAAGCUGUUGUUGUGAGUUUUUCUUACCUUUAAAAGGUGACAUAUAUUAAUUUUUUUGUUCUUUUUAGGGCCACACUCUUGAUGCUGUGAUAUUCCAUGAUAAUAUAGAUAGGUUCAAACAUGUGCUUCAAGAGGGUAAUGCUACAUGGUGAAAGGAGCCUAUGUUUCUGAUCCAAAGCAAUAAAGGAAUCCAAUUGUGACAUGUAAUUCCCAAUGGACGUUCAGAAAAGAUACUUCGGUGAAUGAAGAACCAAAUGAUUCGAUACCGAUUGGUGGACUAUGUUAUAGAACAACUCCAAGUUGCGAGUUCCACAAAUUCCUCUCAACAAAGACAUAUUGAUCAGUUAAGCUAAGCAACUCAAUUAUUGAAGAAUUGCGAAUGAUAUUUCUAUAUUUAUUUUAUCAAUAUCUUGUGUAAGUUUAGGAAAAGAAUUAUUGUACUUAUUAUAUUUUAGAACGAGAUUAUUUUAGUGUGACUUAAAUGUUAAUUAAUCAUUUUCUUCUCUUACUUAGAUACUGCUCGUGUCAUUAUUGGUACCCAUGAACCUCGGGUAGUCACAAUCAAUGGACAGGGUAAAGUCAUUCGUGAGUAUGCUGCUAUUGAUACAGAGUAUGUUAGAUACACGAUGAGUUAUUGUUUUCCUAUUUCUUUACAUAUGUUUAGUUUAGUUUAUAAUAACAUAAUUCAUGGAAAUGUAGGCUGGAAACGUUCGUGGUGACAUUCUGGGAAGAUUCUGUAUCCGAUGAGAUCUAUGCUAAAUUGGAACCUAUUUCGAAUAGGACACCGUUGUUGUUGUUGUUGAAUUUUUUAGUCGUGUCAUAUUACGGUAUGCAUGAUUUUACGUGGUCAGAUAAAUUAUACAUACAUAAAUUGUUAGGCACAAUCGAUGAUAGUUAGUCUUUAAUGUUCAGGAUUGAGUCUGACCACCAAUGCUCAGUCAAUUGUCUUGGAUGGCUCUGAGAGUGAAAUGCUAAUUGAACUAGAGUGAUGGUAUUGUAUAAUCUGUAUAACAAUUAAGAACCUUAUCAUGUGAAUAUUUUUGUUCCUAAGUUGCUUAUAAUUAUCAUAAACAGGAAGCAAGAGAAUGAAGAGGCCAUUAACAUGUUAGUACAAACUGGUGGUUUUUUUGAAAAGAAAGUGUUGCGCUCACCCAAGCAACCUCUGCAGAUUACUAAAGUGGAUCAAAUAUUGCAGAAUAAAGAGGUGACUUACUUUAUAUUGUACUUGCACAAGUAACAUGAAUUUAACAUUUUUUUAAUUUCUUUUUCAGAAUACAUACUUUAAUGUAAAAGUUAAAGCAAGGUUGGAAAAUGAAUACCAAGACUACUUUUACAUUGGUUGUCCAAUAUGUUCCACAAAGACAGCUGCCUCAUAUGGUAUAGAGUUCAUGUGUUACUCAACACCAUGCAAGAAUAUGAGAAUAGAAAAUCGGAGGUGUUAAUAUAUCUAUUAAUACAUCUUUUCUUAAUUAGCUCAUAUAGAUUUGUACAAGUGUGUAUAUUAGAACACUUGAUUUUACUACAACUUCAGAUUUAGUCUCAUGGUCUUUGAUGCGUCUGGACAAGUGGAAGUCACUUUUCUGGGGAAAGAAGCUCAAAAACUUCUUGGCCUAGAUCCUUCUGAGUUUUAUAAAUAACAAAAUCUGGUGAGUAUUCUACUAUACAAUGGUCGAGUAUUAUCACAUUUACAAAAUUUGGAUUUUCUUAGGCAACGCCUAUGCAAUAUUGUCUUACUCUUAAAGAUAAAAAGUCGAAUAUUUAAAGAUGUUUGUUCUUUCACUGCAGAUGCUAUUGAGAUUUUACAAGAUGAUGCUGCAAUACCAUCUGAGAAAAUUAGCUUUGAACCUGACGAAGUUCAUCUAGAGCAAGGUUUGUAUAAUUUUUUCUUCUAUUCUAUGUAUUAUUCAAUUAAGAUGAUAAUAAUUUAAGUAUUUUAAUUCUUCAGGGGUGCUAAAAAGUGCGACGAGGCAAUUGGUUUUCAUGAUUCAUUAGGUGAAAUAUUUCCAACUAAUUUUGUGAUGGAAACCAAUUAAUAUUUAUUGUAAUUAAAUUUGAACAUUUUAGUUAAAUUAAGUUAAAAUUUAUUUUGAUUUUUUGUAAUGAUGAUUGCUGUAAUUAAUAUAGAUAAUGAUGAAGACAUUCGAGCAAAGGAUGCUACCAAAGCUAAAGGCAAGGGGAAAAUGUCUCAAGAAACCCAUGUUGAAUAUGCUAUUCUUGCUUGAAAAGAUAAUAAUUACUCCCUCCGUCCCAGCUUUUUGUAUCCACUUUUAGUAGUGGAUACUGGUGAAGUAUAAUUGAACGGGUAUAGAUUUAAUCGGCAUAUUAUUAUUGGAUUUCGAAUUAUACCUAGUGUUGCUUGGGAAACGAGAGAGAAAAGUAAGGUUGAAAGCACAAAAAUCCGAUUGUUAUUAUAUUGCAAGUGAAGAUAGCGUAAGUUUAAAAAGCUGGGACGGAGGAAGUAUAAUUUUGCAACAACAGAUACAAUUGGAAGCUCAUUUGAAGAUAGUCUUUCUUCUGAUGAUGAUAAACCAAUAUCAGGUAUCACAUCCACUGUUAUAAAUAGAUACUUAAUAUUAAUUGCAAAUUCAUUUAAUAUAACUAUAUUGCUUCUCCAUCACAAAAAUCUUCAGGGGUAAAAAAAAUUUGCUCUAUUGUUCUAUCCGAUGAUUCAAGAAAUGAUAGUCUGAAUUGUGUAGUGGAAUCGGCUAGAAAGAGGUGUNAUAAACCAAUAUCAGGUAUCACAUCCACGGUUAUAAAUAGAUACUUGAUAUUGCAAAUUCAUUUAAUAUAAUCAUAUUGCUUCUCCAUCACAGAAAUCUUCAGGGGUAAAAAGAAAAUUUGCUCUAUUGUUCUAUCCGAAGAGUCAAGAAAUGACAGUAUGAAUUGUGUAGUGGAAUCGGCUAAAAGAGGUGUGUCACCAAAAUUUAGAAAUUAUUUUUAAAAGAAUCUAGGUUUGACAUUGUGAUUUUUUUUUUUUUACAUAUAUAAUAACAAAAUUUUAUGUGAUGAAAAAAUGCACGCACACCCAAUAAGAAAUUUUCUAGGUUUAAUUUUCAUAUUUUAUUCAUCUAAGAAAUCGAGUUCAAUACAUAUUCUAUAUCAGGUAACAUUGGAAAAAUCAAAAGAAGAUUUGUUAGCAAAAGAAAAAAAGUUGUACACUUUGAUCUUUCUGAAGAUUCAGGUAUUCAAUUAUUAUUACAAGAUUUAGUAGAUUUUGCUAAAGAUUUUCAUGAUAUGUUUUCCACCAGAAAAUGAUAAUCAUGGCUUAGUGAAAAUGAGGAUUAUUCUUAUCACUUUGGAUAGAUCGAUGUUGGUGAAACUUUCAAUAUUCUUUUCCAUGAGUAGUGAAUUUUUGACUUUUUUAUUGCAAUGGAGAAAUUGUAUAACUAAUAUAAGAAUAAUGAUUGAUCUAACAAUAUUUAUGUUGGUUUUGUAAUGUUAGAUAAUGAUGAUACGAUUGAGAAUUUUGAUGAUGCACAUUUGGAUAAGCCUCUAUCAGGUAAUAGUUAGACAUGAUAGAUAGUAUUUUAAAUCUUCUAGAAUUUAUUAAUCGAGCAAAUGAUGAAAUAUUAUUGUGUCAUUGUUAGAAAUUUUAAAAAUACAAAAGAAAGCUAAAAACAUUAGCAUGACGUCAUAAGGUCAGGUAAACAUGAAGAUCAAAGAUCCUCAAGCAUGCACAUCUAAACAUUCUAAUUUUAAAUUGAUAUCGCUUAUGCUAAUCUAUUCAUGUUUUGAACUACCAUUAAUUUGUUACUAUUGUGUAAUUACCAUGAAAUCUAAACCAAUAGACAUAUGUACCGGUUACUUGCUUAGCUCCAACUACUUAUAAAACGUAUACAAAUAUAAUUUAUAAGCAACUUUAUUUUUAGAUGAAUUUGUGGAGAGAGUAACUGAUAGCAAACUUGUUGAAGAUUCUCAUAUGGAGUCAUGUCUACCUUUGGCAGGUAAAUUAUUCAACCAAUUAGAUAAAUUUUCGUUUCUAAUAUUCUUCGUUGUUAACAAUAUUAACUCAAUCAUUUAGGCACACUAUACCGGGAGAAACAGGACCUUGUGGCAUAAACAUCAAAGAAGACUAAAAUAACUCAAGCUAAGGACAAACAUGUAGCUAAGGGUACAAAACUGAAAAACUAGAGAAAAACUAUUGUCAUUAUAUAGACACUUAAUCUUUGAAGUGUGUUCUUGUAUGAUUGAUGGGAGUUUCUGUGCAACAUUAUCAGCAAAGAAGGCGAAGAAAAUGAAGUCUAAUAUCUUAAAAGACAAGAUACAAAGCUAGCAUAUCUGAUUCAUCCCACCAACUUACUGAAGUGGUUGUCGAGCAUAAUAAAGGUUAGUAUUCUACAUGAGGCAACGGUGUUAAUAGUUCUAAAUCAAAUCAUCAAUGAUAUAGGAUAUUAUGCAAAUACAUUAUGUUUGUCAUUAACUAAUUUUAUUAAUAUUAUCAUCAACUUUUAGGCAAAGGAGUCCCACAAACACCAACACUCAAGUCAAGGAGUGGCAGAACAAUCAAGCGAAGAAUAUUGGACUAAUGAAGUGAAAGAUUUUAUGAGACUUUGAAGCAACUUCUGUAUGUACUUUGACUUUUGCCUCUAUUACACCGCGUCGGUCACAUUCUACUAUAUUUUGAGGUUACCUUUUGCAUGUACAUUGUAUAUGCCUCGAUGUAGUUUUUAGCUUAAUGCGAUAUGUAUAUAUAACGCGUAAUGUCUAAAAGGAUAGUUAAAUAGGUUAUAUAUAAAUUGUAUUGUGUAGAUUGUUGCUCCUAGCUGUACAAAUUAAAUACUCUUUGCUGUAUUACAACUGUGACCUACAAGUCAUAGUAUAAUAUGUCUACACUUAAAAAUGAUUCGACUAGCGCCGUUAUUGGUCACAUAAUUCACGGAGCAAUUAUGGAAACACCGCGUCCUACGCGGUGCAGAAUUUCUAGUAUAUACAUGUUUGACAUUAAUAACUAUAUUCAGCUUAACUCAGACACAACAGUUGGAGACUUCUAGCAGCCAUGCUUCAUUGCAGGUAGUGUGGAGGUUUCCAAAUUCUUGUUCAUGAAGAUGCAUGAGUAUAUAUACAGUAAAAUGAGUAAAACCAACCUCAUGUUCAGUGUGACAAAGUGAGCAUAUGUCCACAUAUAGCAUCUCUGGAAUAACUAGAAAGUAAAACACAAGAAAAAAGCUCUUGAAAAGAUAGAAUACUACUUGAUAUAAGCAUAUAAGAAACAGAGACACAAUUAUUCCAGAUAUAGCAUACCUUCUCAAUUAAAGUGUGAGCUUUUGGUUAAUGCAAAUAUUGUUCUGUUGGCCAGAAUAUUAACAACUAAGCAUCACUAACUAAUUCCCCACGGAGAGGUAUAUCCAGUGGCGAAGCCAGGAAUUUAGUUCUGGGGGGCUGAACUUUGACGGAGCUCGAGUUUUUUUUUGGGGGGGGGGGGGCAUUCCAUACAUUAGAGACAUUUUUUAUUAAAAGACAAACAUAAGAGUAAUAAUAAAGAGCAACAUUUUCAUAGAUUAUAUAAUUUCAAUACAUUACAAUUUUUUUUGGAGCAUUCCGUACAUUUUAGGCAUUCUUUAUUAAAAGACAAGUACAAUAAUAAUAAUAACAAACAACAUUUUCUUAGAUUAUAGUCUCUGAGAGCGGACGAGUAUGGGUGACUGCCCAGGGCCCAUAAUUAUCGGGGGCCUAAAAAAAUUUACAUCCUCUUAUGUAUACUAUUAUUAUUACUUACUAGUUCGCUACCCGUCGAAAUUCAACAAAAAUUACUUAUUAUAUAUAGGUUUUGUUAAUAAUUUUAAGUAUAAAUUUGAUAAUAGUAUAAUUUUGCAGAUUAUGAACUUCGUUUAUAUAUACUCAUAUCUAUACUAUAUUAAAAAGGGAGCUCUCAAUUUCAAAUUGAUUUCAAAUCAAUUUGAAAUUGAUUUCAAUGACAAUUUUGAAAAUAUCUUUAAUAUGAAGGUUAGAAAUUAAAUGAUCCAUAUUAACCCCAUUAUCUCUCACUCACAUUCUGUCACACCCCAAUUCUUGAAUGAAGAAAUAUAAUCGAGGUGCAACUAAUUCAUAGAAAUAAACAAGGAACAACCUUGUUAAAACCCGAAUAAUAAGAUAACGAGUCGGGCUAGGCCCCUUUGGAUCACAAGUUUUGUUUCAUGUUUCUGACAACCGACGUUCAUUAACAUAAAACUAGAAAUUUUAAAUUGAAGUUCAACAUGAAGUCAUCUUAAGUUGAGAAAACAAAAGUUGUAUAAGAGUAAUUACUACAGCGGAAGUCUAUAUAGAAAUUGAACCCUAGCCUCAGCUCAGUCCCGUCAGCACCGGCCAGUCAACCUGAAAACAUUUGAAAGUAUUUUUGGGCUAAGUACUAAUGUACUCAGUGGGCAUGCAUUUUCAUAAACAUUUCAUAUUUUCGUAAAGACAGUUUAUCCAAUCAUACUUGACAUAACUUAGAAGGUUUUAAAGUGAAAUAACUUCUAAGCAUGUUAAAAUAAUUUCUUUCAUUUGUGCGCACAUGUCACACUCCCUUUCCGUUACUCGCUGUGAUCCCGGACCUUUUAGCCACCGACGGUUCCAUUUCUCCCAUUGCACUUGCCCUGAGGACGUAACUCAGACAAGUUGAAUUGACCUCGGGACGCUACCCAGGCAGGCCUUACAUGAUACAUGCUCCGGAACACAUCCCGUCGAGCACCCUUAUAACGCCUCUACAUGGAUUAGUGCCCGAUGGAGAUCAACCCACCGGGUCAGCUAACAUGUGUACACAAUUCUCAAAUAACGUGUUAGGUCAUAAGAGAACCUCGAUCGAUUCAUUUUGCGAGCCUUAAACAGAGCAGAGUGCACAAAACAUUUUAUUGGAUAAACAGUUUGCAUUUUAUUGAAUAAACAAUUUGCAUUUCAUUGAAACAUUUAGAGCUUAAUAACUCAAUCAUACUUUAUACAUUUGGAAAGUAAGCCCACCUGGAUAGGCAAAGCCUGAAGAUCAUAAUCACAUAUAAACAUGUCUUGGGAAAGCAGCGCUAAUCCCCUUGGUCCACAAAGCCUACAAGAAAUUCUAUUCUUAAUAGGUCUCGUGAAUCUAACUUAAGUCUUAGUGAAGUGCUUAACAUUCUAUGAUUCAUCACGCCGGGUUUUCAAAAUUUAAUAAAUAAAUAAUUGAAAACAAAUUCUUGAGUUAAGGACACCAACAAUAUCCUUACUCGAUUUUCUUUAAUAAUUGGAAUUAUAAAUAAAACCAAUUAAAUCAUAAAUACUUUUAUUGCAAAAUAUAAUGCAAUUCAUUGUCAUGCUUUACUCAUAUGAUAAGUAAUAACUUAACAUAUGCACAUAAUAAUAAUAUAAUAUUAUUAUGCAAAUUAUUCCUUAAAAUAAUAAUUAAUCAACUAUUAAAAGUCUAGUUAAUUAAAACAUAUUAGCCCAUUAUAAAUAAAUAGAACAUGCCCAAGCUUAAAUCAAAGAAUCGGUCCAACUUAAUAAUAUAAAUUAGCCCACAAUUGAAAUGAGAAGCCCUUUUGUUAAAAAUUCGCAGCCCACCUCAAAUAAAUAAGACGUGGCCCUAUUAUAAUAUAAAAACAAGUCCAAACAUUUAUUAAAAACCGGCCAAAACUCGGCCCAACCUCAAACUCCCUUUUUCCCCUUUUUUUUUUCAGAAUCAAACACGCACACACACUCUUAGCUUUCUCUCUCUCUCUGCUCACCACCCAGAUCCGCCUCUCUCUCUCCCUCGAAUCUCCUCCGGCGGCGACCGCCGCCGAUCACCCCGCCUUCAUCUCCCUCGUCGCACCACACCAUUCGGCUCACCAAUACCCACGAAAGAAACAGCGAAGCAGCGGCGAUUCCGCCUCCGCCUUCCUCCUUGGCGACGGCGAGGCGCCGCCGCCUCCCUCGAUCUCUCGUCUUCCCCGGCAAAGCGCCGCCUCUCCUAUGCUCCCCCUGUAAACUCCGACAUCGACAAGGCCAUCGAGUCUCUCCCUCAUCUCCCCUCGUUUCUCCUCUCCCCUGCUCCGGACAGAACGACGGCAGAGCCGCCGCCGCCGCCCUUAGGCUCCCAAAUCCGGUCUCCUCUCGCUCCAAUUCUCGGCGACCAUAGCAGUAGCCAUGGCUGCCGCCGAUGACAAACGCUACAAGCCACCUGGAACCAAAGGUUCCCAAUUCCGACCUUCCCUUCUAAAUCCGGCGACGACGGUCAGCAGCUUCACGCCAACACCGCCGUGCCCUAGCUACUGCCUCCCUCUUCCCCUUUGUUCGGUNUCAUGUUUUGAACUACCAUUUGUUACUAUUGUGUAAUUACCAUGAAAUCUAAACCAAUAGACAUGUGUACCGGUUACUUGCUUAGCUCCAACUACUUAUAAAACGUAUACAAAUAUAAUUAAGCAACUUUAUUUUUAGAUGAAUUUGUGGAGCAACUGAUAGCAAACUUGUUUAAGAUUCUCAUAUGGAGUCAUGUCUACCUUUUACAGGUAAAUUAUUCAACCAAUUAGAUAAAUUUUCGUUUCUAAUAUUCUUCGUUGUUAACAAUAUUAACUCAAUCAUUUAGGCACACUAUACCGGGAGAAACAGGACCUUGUGGCAAAAACAUCAAAGAAGACUAAAAUAACUCAAGCUAAGGACAAACAUGUAGCUAAGGGUACAAAACUGAAAAACUAUUGUCAUUAUAUAGACACUUAAUCUUUGAAGUGUGUUCUUGUAUGAUUGAUGGGAGUUUCUGUGCAACAUUAUCAGCAAAGAAGGCGAAGAAAAUGAAGUCUAAUAUCUUAAAAGACAAGAUACAAAGCAUAUCUGAUUCAUCCCACCAACUUACUGAAGUGGUUGGUCAAGCAUAAUAAAGGUUAGUAUUCUACAUGAGGCAACGGUAAUAGUUCUAAAUCAAAUCAUCAACGAUAUAGGAUAUUAUGCAAAUACAUUAUGUUUGUCAUUAACUAAUUUUAUUAAUAUUAUCAUCAACUUUUAGGCAAAGGAGUCUCAGUGGCAAAACAAUCAAGCGAAGAAUAUUGGACUAAUGAAAUGAAAGAUUUUAUGAGACUUUGAAGUAACUUCUGUAUGUACUUUGACUUUUGCCUCUAUUACACCGUGUCGGUCACAUUCUACUACAUUUUGAGGUUACCUUUUGCAUGUACAUUGUAUAUGCCUUGAUGCAGUUUUUGGCUUAAUGCGAUAUGUAUAUAUAACGCGUAAUGUCUAAAAGGAUACUUAAAUAGUUUAUAUAUAAAUUGUAUUGUGUAGAUUGUUGCUCCUAGCUGUACAAAUUAAAUACUCUUCAUUGUAUUACAACUGUAACCUACAAGUCGUAAUAUAAUAUGUCUACACUUAAAAAUGAUUUGAAUAGCUCCGUUAUUGGUCACAUAAUUCACGGAGCAAUUAUGGAAACACCGCGUCCUACGCGGUGCAGAAUUUCUAGUUAUUUCAUAAGCUUUAAUGAGAGAAUCUUCACCUCUUUAAUGAAUUUCAAUCUUAUACUUCCUCCGUCACAUCAUAAGUGAGAUUAUUUUUUUUAAAAUAAAAAUUUUACUUUUUGUUACUCGAGCGGGAAAUAGCGCGUCUAGGCAAUGGUGGGAGGAGGAGUAACUGCGUCGUUGCUGGAUUGACAAGGCGAAGGAGGUUGUCAUCUUUGGCAUCCAACCGUAGAGCCAUCUCCAUAGCCAAACCGUUGUUGGUAGCAAGAACUCCAAAAUCGAAGAGGUAAGUUAGCUCAGAUGUGUGGAUGUGUGGAUUCCGCCGUCUGCAUCGACUGUUACAUAAAGUGGCAGAGUAUUUUCAAUUAGGGGUGAUAGGAGGAGUCCAUAGGUAGCACCGUGCAUCUGCAGUUGCGCGUUGAUGAAGGCAUGAGAGAUUAUAUUAAUGAGAAUUCCCCUCAACUUUUUCCAACCCUAUAUGGAGUUCAUCAACCCGAUCAAUUCUACCAAUUUGUAAUUAUUAUAUUUUUUGAUAGAUAUUUUAUUAUAACAAUCUAAAGUUAGAAGUGACGACGACCUACCACUAAACAACACAACAUUCUGUCGCUAAUAAAAAAUAAUUAAGAAGAAAAGAUCCCCACUCGUCAAAAACAAACAAGAAAAAAUUUAAAAUUUGUCUUGCUCCGUAUAACUAAUUAGGACAUUUUUAUUUAGACGUGUAUUAUGAAUAUUAGUUUCUUACGUUUUUAUUUAUUCAUUAAUAGUUUUAUUGAUUUCUUGUUAAAAAAAAUUCAUAAUAGUCACAUGAAUAAGUCAAUUUCAUAAAUACAAUUGAUUUAUAAAAUAUUUAAAACUAUAUAAUAAUAUCUAUAUAUUUUAUUUUCAUCAUAUAGAAUCAUGUGUGUUAAACAUGCAUCGCACGUUCCUUCUGCUAGUAAUAUAUAUAAAAUGUGUUUUGGCACAAAAUAUAGAAUGCCUAUUAUAUCCCUAUUACAUAUUUAAUUUUAAGGGUAAAGUGUAAAUUUAUAAUUUUAAAUUUUUAGAGUUUUUUCUUAAUUUCAAAAAUUAUAAUUUAAAUCAACUUAUAAUGUGUAAAAACAAAUCAAAGAUAAUAACUCAAUUAAAUAAAUGUAUGUGUCUAUCAAUUCAUUGUGCAUGAUAUUACUGGAGAUCAUAAUAACGAUCUAUCUAAAGAUUAUUCAACAAUAGGUUCAUAUUUUAACAAGUUACCAAUAUUCAGAAUUGUAUGUUUUAACAAUUAUUAAUUUAUAAUAUUAACAAGACCUAUAUAAUAUUAUUGGAGUAUUAUUUUAUUAAAAUUGUUAAUUUUUUAAAUUAAUUUUAAGUCAGGACCAAAGAAAUUAAUUAAUUUAUCUAAGUAUUAUUUUAGAGUGGUUUUUUUGUUUGUUUUUUUUUUUUUUUUUUGAAGCCUAUUUUAGAGUGGUUUUAGUAUAUUCUAAUAAUGCGUACAAUAAACGCUUCCCAUGCUCGUUGAUCAAAAUAUCUUAAUGCCGGAAAAAUCUCAAGUAGACCAAUUGUUAAUUAAAAAUUUAAAUAUAUAAUAUUAUACUCCCUCCGUCCACGAAAGAACUUUCUAUCUUUCCUUUUUGGGACGUCCACAAAAGAACUUCCUACCUAUUUUUGGACUAUACCCCACCACUUAUAAUCCUCUUACUUUUCACUUUUCACAACUCCCAAUAUUAAUUAUAACACAUUUUCACCACUCCCAAUACACUCAACUAUCUUUUAUCCACUCUCAAUACACUCAACAAUAUUUUUUCUUAAAACCCGUGUCAUUCCCUCCUAUGAAGUUCUUUCAUGGACGGAGAGAGUAUUUAUUUUUUAUUUAUAUUUAUAUUUAUAUUUCUUUAAGCUAGUUUAUCAGAAUAUCUUAAUCUUUCCAUUAUAAUAUUUCAACGAUGCAAGGACUGCUUCGCACCUGUCGGAAACUUGUAUGACAGAGCGUACAACCUCAUCAUCAUUAACUAAUUCAAUCAUCCAUAAUCAUUUUUCAUCAAUGCUCCCGAAAUUCAACAUUGAUCACCAGCAUUAAUAAGUUUAAUUAGCAACAAACAUGUAAUUAAUUAAAUUAAUGACUGGUCAGGUUAAUUAUAUUCUUAUAUCGACGUGCUUCCGUCAACUGCAGCAUAUUUAUUUUUUUUUUUUUUUGAAAUGAAAGUAAAAUUUCACUUCAAAUCGGCGUGUACAAUAUCAAGAAGCCAGGACGGGUAGUCCGACUUCCAGAUCAUUACAGUCGAAGAAGUUAAGGCAAAACUCGCGAGUGCGUGAGCCGCACCAUUCGCUUCUCUACGGGUAUGACAAAACUCGAGGACGACAUGCUUCCUAGCGUGCUCGAAGACUUCCCACAAGUCGUCACAUAACGAAUCUGAGCCCCGAUAGGUGUCGUGGAGAAUAUGAACAGCCAGGAGAGAGUCAGUAAAGAGAAAAUGGCCCCAAUCAUUUUCAAGACAAAAGCCAAUGGCAAGAUAAAGCAUGUAGCUCUCCCAUGAGCACGUGGUUGUGUACCCACAGAUUGGCUACAGCAGCUAAAAUCUCACCUUUUGUUCCGGAUAUGAAGCCAACCCCCACCUCUCCGCUUUCCUGGAAAGCCACAUCCACAUCGACUCUGAGGAUACCCUUGCCGGUGCUUGCCAAGAUUUGGAACCCUCUGGCGGGAGAGCUCGGUUUUGAAUCAAGAGUCGGUGUCGAGCUUCUUUGAAAUUCUGAGCCAUCAGUCUGCUUUCUUCCCAAUCAAGCUUUAUCACCGCCCCAUUGUCAGCAUGCUUAACUUCACAUAAGUGCCUCCAAGCCCUCCAAAGAGCAAUCCAAUUCUCAACCCCUUCACCCCAUUUUGCUCGAAUCAAGAGGCUAAGGUCCUCAAGGGUUAGGAACCUCAGCGAUUUGAUAUCGUUCCAGAACUCAGUUUGUUUCCAAUAACCCGCAUGCUUCACAAAAGAUAAGGCAUGGACGGUCGACCCCAGUCUUUGCGACACCAGGAGCAAAUACCAUUGAAGGGACGUGGUGUCUUUGGAGAUUUCUAUCGGUCGCGAUCAAGUCUUUGUGGGCUCUCCAUGCGAAGUGUCGGAUCUUCGGCGGAAUGUUCAGAGACCAUAUCAUUUUCCACCAUUUCUCGCCAGCGUUUGAAGCAGUUGAUCCGUGCGGGCUAUAGAAGUUGGUUGCGCUCAGGUAGCCAGAUUUAACCGAGUAAUUCCCUUUCUCAUCAAAUUUCCAGAAGGGAGUGUCAGGAGUCGACUGGUUUUCAAUCCUAAUAUCCUUAAUAGCUUCCACCUGGUGAGGUAAGAAAGCCGUUAGCAGCUUAGGCUCAUCACAGUCACCAUUCUCGUCAAUGAAUCCCAUGACUCGAGUAUCAGCAGCCAGUCCCGCACCUUCCCCAUCACCGCACUGCCCCAUACCAGGUACCCAACUAGUCAUGAAGGCUCUAAUACCAGCACCAUUGCCAACUUUCCAUCUGAUUCCUUUCUUGAGAAGAUCGCGACCCCAACAUAAGGAUCGCCAAGUGUAAGAGCUGUUUGAGGUGGUUCUAGCCUCCAAAAUAUCACACGAUCUGUAGUAGCGCUGCUUCAAGACACGUGCUAAGAGAGAGUUUGGAUUUUUGAGGAGACGCCAGGCUUGCUUGGCAAGUAAGGCCUGGUUAAACUCACAAAACUUCCGAAACCCAAGUCCUCCUCUUGACUUUGGCUCACAAACAUUGCUCCAAGAAAGCCAGUGCAUAUGCUUAUCGUUAUCUGAGUCUCCCCACCAAAACCUACUGCAAGCUUUCUCAAUUUCAUUGCAAACUCCCACCGGAAUCCUGAAACAUGCCAUGGUGUACGUCGGUAUAGAUUGGAUAACCGACUUAAGUAAGACCUCCUUACCGCCCGCCGAGAACCACUUAUUGUUCCAGUUGCUGAUCUUCUUACAAGCUCUAUCACGCAGGUAAUCAAAUUGGAGCUUCUUUUGACGCAUGACGAAGGUUGGUAAACCAAGAUACACCGAAUGCCCACUAGUUUCCUUUAUACCCAGAGUGUGAAUAACCGCAUCAAUGUCAGCUUGCAGUGUAUUGGGGCUGAAAGUCACGGAGGAUUUGUCGUAAUUAAUAACCUGCCCCGAUGCGUUUUCAUACUUUGUCAGUGCCUCCUUUAAACCAAGCACGCUUGAUUGGUCCGACCUGAAGAAAACCAAACUAUCGUCUGCAAAAAAGAGAUUAGUAAUGGAAGGGCAAUAGCGAGCAAUAGUAAUCCCGCUAAAUAAACCUUGGUUCUCGUAGCUCCGUAGAAGGGAGGAGAAGCCUUGCGCGCAAAUGACGAAAAGGAACGGCGAGAGUGGGCAGCCCUGCCGAAGACCUCUCGAGGGAGUAAGAGACCCAUAUGCUUUCCGAUUGACAACAAAAGAGAACUCCACUGUAGAGAUGCAUUGCAUAAUAAGAUCGAUGAGGUUGAGAGGAAACCUCAUCGCAACCAUCAUUGCCCGAAGGAACCGCCACUCUACUCUAUCAUACUCCUUGCUCAUGUCUAACUUCUCCGCUGCAAAGCCGUCUUCCCCAUUCUUCUUAUUCCUGAGCCAAUGCAUGCACUCAUAUCCCAGUAAGAUGUUAUCCGAAAUCAGCCUCCCCGGUAUAAAAGCGCUCUGCGAAUCAUCAAUAACAAAGCUCAGGUAGGUCCGCAGCCUGUUCGCCAGCGUCUUUGCAACAAUUUUGUACGUCGUAUUGCAGAGACUAAUUGGCCUGAAAUCUUUAACCUCUUUUGGUUGUUUAAUCUUUGGUAUCCAGUGAGCUAUAUAUAUUUCGNCCUACUCGAGGGAGUAAGAGACCCAUACACUUUCCGAUUGACAACAAAAGAGAACUCCACUGUAGAGAUGCACUGCAUAAUAAGAUCGAUGAGAUUGAGUGGAAACCUCAUCGCAGCCAUCAUUGCCCGGAGAAACCGCCACUCCACUCUAUCAUAGGCCUUGCUCAUGUCUAACUUCGCCGCUGCAAAGCCGUCUUCCCCAUUCUUUUUGUUCCUGAGCCAAUGCAUGCACUCAUAUCCCAGUAAGAUGUUAUCAGAAAUUAGCCGCCCCGGAAUGAAAGCGCUCUGCGCGUCAUCAAUAAUGUAUGUCAGGUAGGCCCGCAACCUGUUCGCCAGCGCCUUUGCAACGAUUUUGUACGUCGUAUUGCAAAGACUAAUUGGCCUGAAAUCUUUGACCUCUUUUGGUUGUUUAAUUUUUGGUAUCAGCACGAUCAGGGUCUUAUUCCAUGCUCUAAUGCUAGCAUUGCCGUUGAGAAUGUCAAGCGCCUCUUUUGUCACGCACCCUCCAAUUUCGCCCCAAAACUUUUGAAAGAAGAAAGGAGGGUAACCGUCAGGCCCCGGUGCCUUGUGUGGAUUCAUUUGGAAGAUGGCCUUUCAAUCUUUUUUGUAAAGGGAUUGAGACUUCCUGGCAGAUCCCCGAAGAAGCUCGCCCGAAUCCGCGACAGAGGCAAUGUCAGUUGGUGUCGGGGAGGAGGUUCGAAAUAAAUCAGCAAAGUAAGCUUGGAUGACCACGGCCAAAUCCUCAUCUCUUUUGACCUCUCCCCCAUCACUAGUUCGGAGUGAGGAUAUAGUGUUCUUCUCCUUGCGUUUACUGGCAAAAGCAUGGAAGUAUUUGGUGUUGCGAUCGCCUAAACCCAGCCAGUUGGCCCGUGAGCGCUGUUUCCAGUGAAUCUCCUCCGCCUCUGUUAGUUUCUCAAUCGCGUUAUUAAUAACUUUGAGUUUAGCGUCGAAGUCCUCGAGCCCUCUGUUGUUGAGUAGAGUAGCCCUUUCCUUUCUCAAGUCGUUGAGUUCACGUGUGGGAGCCUCGAACUUGCCUUUCGACCAAUGUUCAAGGAAGCCUUGACACCUACUAAGUCUCUCCUGCAUAGGCAGUCCCCCUCGAAAGUGCCAUUCCAUAAGAAAGUCCGCAGAAAAGGUGUUGUCCAAGAGCCACUUCUGCUCGAAAUGAAAGCGCUUCUGACCCGCCCCUGGUUCCCUGUGCAUAUCACGACUUUCCACGCGUAGCAGCAACGGCCUGUGGUCUGAGCCAAAAGGAUCUAAAGCACGAACCAGUUCCUCUUUGAAGGUAUCCCGGGCGGCUCUGUUGCAUAAGAAUCUGUCAAGGCGUAGAAAGAUCGCGUCUUUGUUCUUCCUCUGAUUGUACCAUGUGAAUUCGGAGUCGCAAUUCAUGGAUUUCAGACCACAGUACUGGAUAGCAAGAUCAAACUCCCGCAUCUGAGACCAUGGCCUUCGAGCUCCACCAUUGCGUUCGGACUGACUAAUGAUCUCGUUGAAAUCCCCGCCCAUAAGCCAAGGGAGCUGUUCACAAUCCGAGCAGGCGAGUUUCCUCAUUAGCUCCCAUGAAUGGACUCGUUUUGACACCAUGGGAUUUCCAUAGAAGCCCGUGAAUCUCCAUUUAAUAUCCUGCGACAACACCACACAAUCAAUAUGACCCUCAGAGUAAUUUUUAACAGUAACCGAACAUGUAUUAUUCCAAAAUAACAUGAACCCUCCGCUGGCUCCUCUAGAGUUGACCACGAAAUGACCAUCAAAGUUAAGUUGGGUACGCCACCAUCGACACUUGUCAGCCGUAACUUUUGUUUCACAAAUAAACAGUAUCGCCGGGGAGAAGCCGGUUACCAACCGGCGGAGUUCAUGGAAUGCACGAGGGCUCCCCAGCCCCCGUGCAUUCCAAACGAUGCAAUUCAUUGCUCUCGGCGGGACUGCACCGCAGUCGCCGCCGAUUUCUCAUCAUCAUUUCCUUCAGCAACAAACUUCAUCACUUUACUUCGCGGUUGGCCAUCCUCAGUGUCAGGGUCAGUUCCUCCACCGCGUUUCCGUCCCAUCCAAAUUCCACCAUUCUGGUUAUUGCCCGUCUCCUUUAGCCUGGGGGUAGGCUUUCUAGCAAGUCGUUUCCAGCCCUUGCUUGUUGAGUUAUGUUUGGCCUUUGCGGGGGAGAUUGGCUUCAUCAAAGAGAGUGAGAGGUUCUGAGUACGUGGGGUGGAGGUCAGGUCCGCUUGGUUCUCGACGUCCGAUUCACAUAUCAUCUCGCCUUCCCCUCCCAUCGCUGGUGCAAGGUUAGUGCAGUUUCCUUGACCAACCUCUCUAGUCUGCUCCUGUUCCAUUAGCUCAAUAUGGUCUGUAUCAGAGGUAUCCACUUCCUUCUCAGUUAUGAUGAUGGCCUGUUCCCUGGUUGUAACCACCUUAUCCCGAGGGGGGGUCUGGGUCCGUUAGCAUUGGCCCUCGCGACCAGUAGGGUGUUUCCAGCCUGGGAUCGAGCUUGUGGGUUGGGUUUCGCCUGUUUCCUGUAGUCAACACCACGGCCUGCUCGCAGCCACAGACCAAAUUUUGCUUCUUUCUUCUCCUCUUCUCCAAGUGAGCAAGAUUUAAGGUAGUGGCCAAGCUUUCCACAAGCGUAGCAAAAGUGGUCAGGCAGACGUUCAUAAAGGACUAGUAUUAAGUUUUCUUCUUCACCUUCCACGACGAGGGGUACACAUCGUGUUAAUGGCUCAUGGACAGAUCUAGAAAUUUUCACCCGCGCAUAUCUUCCCAGACACAUCCCUCCUACUCCACAAUCCACUUCGAUCACGCGACCAAUCUGUUCUCCAAUUCUCCUAACCACACUUGCCUCCAUACACGUAAUAGGCAUAUUGUGUAGUUGUACCCAUAGAGUGAUUUUGUCAAAUUCUGCAUUGGCAGCUGUGCUUUUGGUAUCCGUUUCUUGAAGAAUCAUCAGCUCAUUGAAAUAAUGCCAUGGACCCUCUGUAAGAAUGCGUUCCCUAUCUGAUUCCAGAUCGAAUGUUGCAGCAAAGAUAUUUCGACCCACCAGUUCGAUCUCCAUGGUGCCUCUGGGUCGAAAAACAGAGGGGAGGUUUUCUCGCAGGGCUUCUCUAUUCACUAACCUUUCUGAGAAGAUUUUGCCCAAAAUGAUUUUUCUUGCCCUCGAUUUACCGUCUGCUGCGUCGGAAGCAGUGAGUGUGACCCGCUUGUUCUUCGCUUCAGACGAGAGUUUUAACUCAGCGACCCUCUUCACAAUUUCCUCUGGAUCCAUACUUUGGGGUGAUUGGUAUGCAAAAAGGGCAAAGAUCGAACAAGCCUUCACUUCCAGCAAUGAAAGAAAAACAAUCUCCUCAAAGAGAAAGACUUCACUCCUAAAACCCCCUGGCGGCUAGGGUUUCAGAGGACAAAAAAUCAACUGCAGCAUAUUUAAAUGAACUUCAUUUUUCUGAUAAAAAGAAUUUCAUUAUCAUGUGUAGAUGCAAUUAAUUUUUUCCAGUUGACUUAACCUCUAUAAUUAUAAACAAACCACGUUAGGUGCAUAAAAAAGUUUGAAUCUAACAACUGCAGCUUAUUUUAUUGAUUUCAAUAAUGUUGCANCCAAACAAUUUAAUUAAAAUAGGUCCAAAUCCUUUAAUUAAAAGAAGCCCAUCAGAUUUUAUUUGUAAAGGGCCGAGCCCAAACAUUUAAAUCGAAGCCCAUCUGUUAAUUAAAUAAGGGCCCAAACACUUAUUAAAAUCGGCCCAAGUCUCGGCCCAAACAAUUAAUAAAAUCGGCCCAAGAGGGAGCCCAAUAUUUUCGGCCCAAACCCGGCUCAAACCCGGCCCAAACCCGGCUGAAACCCGGCCUAAAUAUACCCACACCAUAUAUACACACUCAUAACACACUCACACGCACAUCUCACUGCUCUCUCUCUCUCUAUCUCUCUCUCUCGCUCUCUCUCUCUCCCUCUCUCUCUCUGCUCUCUCUCUUUACUCUCUCUCUCUCUCUCUUCGUUCGGCUGAGGGCGGCGCCGCCUCCGGCGCGCCGCCUCGCCGUCGCCUCCGCUCUCUCUCUCACGACUGCCGGAACAAGGUACAGCAGACGCACGCCGCUGUCAAAGCGGUGCGCCGCCGCCGCUGCCUCCGUCGUCCUUGCAGCAGAUCCGCUGCCGCGUCAAGACCACGACCACCGCUUGGGUCGACGGGAGCCGCUGGAGCUGCUGCUGCUUCACCGGGAGUCGAGCUGUCGCCGCCUGGAGCUGCUGCUGUUCGCCGCGUGGCGCCGCUGUCGCCGCCUGGAGCUGCUGCUGUUCGCCCGGAGUCGCCGCUGGCUGGCCUGCGAUCGACGGCCAGCAGCUCGCUGGAGGAGCGCCGCCGUCAGCCGCUGCCGUUGGCAGCAAGAAUCCGGCAGCCGCCUCUCCUGGAGUCGCCGUCGCCGUGAGUCGCAGAGCUCCGACAAUCCACCAUCCUUUCUCUCUCGUUUUAUCACUCACGAUAGGUUCGUAAAUUUGAAUAAUUUUCAGAAAACUCAACUGUAAAGACUUGAUUUUGAAAUGAAAACUUGGUUUUCUGUAUUCCUAGUGAGAUACAAAUUCUAAUUCUGAUUUCUUGUGAAAGCUUUGAUGCGUAUACAAAUUCUGUAAACUGUAAACAAAAUCAUAUGUGAUCUCAUUCAUGUUGAAUUUCUGGAUAAUGCUAUGUAUGAAAAGGAAGAAAGUUGCGUGUAAUACCUUCACCGAAUCUUGUCAAAAGAAAACUCUGCGUUUAAGAAUUUGCUUGUUUUAGAGCUGAAGUGUUUGGAUGAAUUUAUAGAUGGGUCUCUGCGACAAUGAAAUCUAUGACUAUGGAAUUUUUGUGAGUGAAAAUCGGCUGCGCCUGAACAAAUAAGAUUUGCUGCGGCUGUAUCUGUAUCUUUGAAAAAAUGAGAUUUGCUGUUGAAGACUGAGAUUUUGGUUGAAGAAUUAAUGAGAUUAAAUUUGCUGUUUGACAAAUUAGAUUUGUCUGUUGAAUACUUGAGAUUUUGCUUGCAGCAAUUUUGUUGACUACGUAAGAGUGAAAUAAAAACUAAGCACGGGUGAGAAUAGAGUGGCUGAGGGAGCAUGGCGUGCUAGAUUUAAUACACGGAAUAAUAUCUAAAUUAAUAUCGUAGAUUUAAUUCUUCACAAGCCGGAAUAAAUUCACGACUCAAGAAAUAAAAAAAAAUAGAAAAUUACUUCUAUUGUGAUUAAUAAUUAACAUGACUUUACUAAGUCAGUUAUGAAUCUGAAAUAAAUAAUUAUUGGCUUACUCAAUAAUUCUCAUCGCGGUUUUAUUUACGCGAAGCUACUGACUUGUAAUAAAAUAAUAAUCCUGCUUAAUUGAAUAUAAUCCAGUGUCAUAAGCUGAAUUUAAAUCAUAAAUAAUUACUGGGUUUGAUUUACUGAAAGAUGAAAUAAUAAUUAUCGUAUUACUGGAUUUAAAUAUAAUAAAAGAGCGGGUUGUUACAUUCUUAUCACUUUGAAUAGAUGUUGGUGAAACUUUCAGUAUUCUUUUCCAUGAGUAGUGAAUUUUUGACUUUUUUAUUGCAAUGGAGAAAUUGUAUAACUAAUAUAAGAAUAAUGAUUGAUCUAACAAUAUUUAUGUUGGUUUUGUAAUGUUAGAUAAUGAUGAUACAACUGAGAAUUUUGAUGAUGCACAUUUGGAUAUGCCUCUAUCAGGUAAUAGUUAGACAUGAUAGAUAGUAUUUUAAAUCUUCUAGAAUUUAUUAAUCGAGCAAAUGAUGAAAUAUUAUUGUGUCAUUGUUAGAAAUUUUAAAAAUACAAAAGAAAGCUAAAAACAUUAGCAUGAGGUCAUAAGGUCAGGUAAACAUGAAGAUCAAAGAUCCUCAAGCAUGCACAUCUAAACAUUCUAAUUUUAAAUUGAUAUUGCUUAUGUUAAUCUAUUCAUGUUUUGAACUACCAUUUGUUACUAUUGUGUAAUUACCAUGAAAUCUAAACCAAUAGACAUGUGUACCGGUUACUUGCUUAGCUCCAACUACUUAUAAAACGUAUACAAAUAUAAUUAAGCAACUUUAUUUUUAGAUGAAUUUGUGGAGCAACUGAUAGCAAACUUGUUUAAGAUUCUCAUAUGGAGUCAUGUCUACCUUUUACAGGUAAAUUAUUCAACCAAUUAGAUAAAUUUUCGUUUCUAAUAUUCUUCGUUGUUAACAAUAUUAACUCAAUCAUUUAGGCACACUAUACCGGGAGAAACAGGACCUUGUGGCAAAAACAUCAAAGAAGACUAAAAUAACUCAAGCUAAGGACAAACAUGUAGCUAAGGGUACAAAACUGAAAAACUAUUGUCAUUAUAUAGACACUUAAUCUUUGAAGUGUGUUCUUGUAUGAUUGAUGGGAGUUUCUGUGCAACAUUAUCAGCAAAGAAGGCGAAAGAAAUGAAGUCUAAAUAUCUUAAAAGACAAGAUACAAAGCAUAUCUGAUUCAUCCCACCAACUUACUGAAGUGGUUGUCGAGCAUAAUAAAGGUUGUAUUCUACAUGAGGCAACGGUAAUAGUUCUAAAUCAAAUCAUCAAUGAUAUAGGAUAUUAUGCAAAUACAUUAUGUUUGUCAUUAACUAAUUUUAUUAAUAUUAUCAUCAACUUUUAGGCAAAGGAGUCUCAGUGGCAGAACAAUCAAGCGAAGAAUAUUGGACUAAUGAAGUGAAAGAUUUUAUGAGACUUUGAAGUAACUUCUGUAUGUACUUUGACUUUUGCCUCUAUUACACCGUGUCGGUCACAUUCUACUAUAUUUUGAGGUUACCUUUUGCAUGUACAUUGUAUAUGCCUUGAUGUAGUUUUUGGCUUAAUGCGAUAUGUAUAUAUAACGCGUAAUGUCUAAAAGGAUAGUUAAAUAGUUUAUAUAUAAAUUGUAUUGUGUAGAUUGUUGCUCCUAGCUGUACAAAUUAAAUACUCUUUGUUGUAUUACAACUGUGACCUACAAGUCGUAGUAUAAUAUGUCUACACUUAAAAAUGAUUUGACUAGCUCCGUUAUUGGUCACAUAAUUCACGGAGCAAUUAUGAAACACCGCGUCCUACGCGGUGCAGAAUUCUAGUUAUUUCANNNNNNNNNNNNNNNNNNNNNNNNNNNNNNNNNNNNNNNNNNNNNNNNNNNNNNNNNNNNNNNNNNNNNNNNNNNNNNNNNNNNNNNNNNNNNNNNNNNNNNNNNNNNNNNNNNNNNNNNNNNNNNNNNNNNNNNNNNNNNNNNNNNNNNNNNNNNNNNNNNNNNNNNNNNNNNNNNNNNNNNNNNNNNNNNNNNNNNNNNNNNNNNNNNNNNNNNNNNNNNNNNNNNNNNNNNNNNNNNNNNNNNNNNNNNNNNNNNNNNNNNNNNNNNNNNNNNNNNNNNNNNNNNNNNNNNNNNNNNNNNNNNNNNNNNNNNNNNNNNNNNNNNNNNNNNNNNNNNNNNNNNNNNNNNNNNNNNNNNNNNNNNNNNNNNNNNNNNNNNNNNNNNNNNNNNNNNNNNNNNNNNNNNNNNNNNNNNNNNNNNNNNNNNNNNNNNNNNNNNNNNNNNNNNNNNNNNNNNNNNNNNNNNNNNNNNNNNNNNNNNNNNNNNNNNNNNNNNNNNNNNNNNNNNNNNNNNNNNNNNNNNNNNNNNNNNNNNNNNNNNNNNNNNNNNNNNNNNNNNNNNNNNNNNNNNNNNNNNNNNNNNNNNNNNNNNNNNNNNNNNNNNNNNNNNNNNNNNNNNNNNNNNNNNNNNNNNNNNNNNNNNNNNNNNNNNNNNNNNNNNNNNNNNNNNNNNNNNNNNNNNNNNNNNNNNNNNNNNNNNNNNNNNNNNNNNNNNNNNNNNNNNNNNNNNNNNNNNNNNNNNNNNNNNNNNNNNNNNNNNNNNNNNNNNNNNNNNNNNNNNNNNNNNNNNNNNNNNNNNNNNNNNNNNNNNNNNNNNNNNNNNNNNNNNNNNNNNNNNNNNNNNNNNNNNNNNNNNNNNNNNNNNNNNNNNNNNNNNNNNNNNNNNNNNNNNNNNNNNNNNNNNNNNNNNNNNNNNNNNNNNNNNNNNNNNNNNNNNNNNNNNNNNNNNNNNNNNNNNNNNNNNNNNNNNNNNNNNNNNNNNNNNNNNNNNNNNNNNNNNNNNNNNNNNNNNNNNNNNNNNNNNUUUCAUAAGCUUUAAUGAGAGAAUCUUCACCUCUUUAAUGAAUUUCAAUCUUAUACUUCCUCCGUCCCAUCAUAAGUGAAGAUUAUUUUUUUUUUAAAUAAAAUUUUACUUUUUGUUACUCGAAGCGGGAAAUAGCGCGUCUAGGCAAUAGGUGGGAGGAGGAGUAACUGCUUCGUUGCUGGAUUGACAAGGCGAAGGAGGUUGUCAUCUUUGGCAUCCAACCGUAGAGCCAUCUCCAGAGCCAAACCGUUGUUGGUAGCAAGAACUCCAAAAUCGAAGAGGUAAGUUAGCUCAGAUGUGUGGAUGUGUGGAUUCCGCCGUCUGCAUCGACUGUUACAUAAAGUGGCAGAGUAUUUUCAAUUAGGGGUGAUAGGAGGAGUCCAUAGGUAGCACCGUGCAUCUGCAGUUGCGCGUUGAUGAAGGCAUGUGAGAUUAUAUUAAUGAGAAUUCCCCUCAACUUUUUCCAACCCUAUAUGGAGUUCAUCAACCCGAUCAAUUCUACCAAUUUGUAAUUAUUAUAUUUUUUGAUAGAUAUUUUAUUAUAACAAUCUAAAGUUAGAAGUGACGACGACCUACCACUAAACAACACAACAUUCUGUCGCUAAUAAAAAAUAAUUAAGAAGAAAAGAUCCCCACUGGUCAAAAACAAACAAGAAAAAUUUAAAAUUUGUCUUGCUCCGUAUAACUUAGGACAUUUUUAUUUAGACGUGUAUUAUGAAUAUUAGUUUCUUACGUUUUUAUUUAUUCAUUAAUAGUUUUAUUGAUUUCUUGUUAAAAAAAAUUCAUAAUAGUCACAUGAAUAAGUCAAUUUCAUAAUACAAUUGAUUUAUAAAAUAUUUAAAACUAUAUAAUAAUAUCUAUAUAUUUUAUUUUCAUCAUAUAGAAUCAUGUGUGUUAAACAUGCAUCGCACGUUCCUUCUACUAGUAAUAUAUAUAAAAUGUGUUUUGGCACAAAAUAUAGAAUGCCUAUUAUAUCCCUAUUACAUAUUUAAUUUUAAGGGUAAAGUGUAAAUUUAUAAUUUUAAAUUUUUAGAGUUUUUCUUAAUUUCAAAAUUAUAAUUUAAAUCAAGUUAUAAUGUGUAAAAACAAAUCAAAGAUAAUAACUCAAUUAACUAAAUGUAUGUGUCUAUCAAUUCAUUGUGGAUGAUAUUACUGGAGAUCAUAAUAACGAUCUAUCUAAAGAUUAUUCAACAAUAGGUUCAUAUUUUAACAAGUUACUAAUAUUCAGAAUUGUAUGUUUUACUAAUUAUUAAUUUAUAAUAUUAACAAGACUAUAUAAUAUUAUUGGAGUAUUAUUUUAUUAAAAUUGUUAAUUUUUUAAAUUAAUUUUAAGUCAGGACCAAAGAAUUAAUUAAUUUAUCUAGUAUUAUUUUAGUUGGUUUUUGUUUGUUUUUUUUUUUUUUUUUUGUAAGCCUAUUUUAGAGUGGUUUAGUAUAUUCUAAUAAUGCGUACAAUAUACGCUCCCAUGCUCGUUGAUCAAAAUAUCUUAAUGCCGGAAAAAUCUCAAGUAGACUAAUUAUAAUAUUAUACUCCCUCCGUCCACGAAAGAACUUUCUAUCUUUCCUUUUUGGGACGUCCACAAAGAACUUCCUACCUAUUUUUGGACUAUACCCCACCACUUAUAAUCCUCUUACUUUCACUUUUCACAACUCCCAAUAUUAAUUAUAACACAUUUUCACCACUCCCAAUACACUCAACUAUCUUUUAUCCACUCUCAAUACACUCAACAAUAUUUUUUCUUAAAACCCGUGUCAUUCCCUCCUAUGAAGUUCUUUCAUGGACGGAGAGAGUAUUUAUUUUUUAUUUAUAUUUAUAUUUAUAUUUCUUUAAGCUAGUUUAUCAGAAUAUCUUAAUCUUUCCAUUAUAAUAUUUCAACGAUGCAAGGACUGCUUCGCACCUGUCGGAAACUUGUAUGACAGAGCGUACAACCUCAUCAUCAUUAACUAAUUCAAUCAUCCAUAAUCAUUUUUCAUCAAUGCUCCCGAAAUUCAACAUUGAUCACCAGCAUUAAUAAGUUUAAUUAGCAACAAACAUGUAAUUAAUUAAAUUAAUGACUGGUCAGGUUAAUUAUAUUCUUAUAUCGACGUGCUUCCGUCAACUGCAGCAUAUUUAAAUGAACUUCAUUUUUCUGAUAAAAAGAAUUUCAUUAUCAUGUGUAGAUGCAAUUAAUUUUUUCCAGUUGACUUAACCUCUAUAAUUAUAAACAAACCACGUUAGGUGCAUAAAAAGUUUGAAUCUAACAACUGCAGCUUAUUUUAUUGAUUUCAAUAAUGUUGCACAUGACUUACUUCUCAUUUAUCUGCUAUAAAAGUUUCAAAUCUCAAUUGUGGAAUCAUAAUACCAGAUUGGUUGCCUUCUUUCACCUCUCAAAUAUUACCUCAUAUAUUUUCAUUCACACUUCCCAUAAAUAUAUACAUUAUACAAAGAUUUAAUCAUGGCGGCUUAUGGAGCUCUGGUUUCUCUUAUGCAUAUCAUAGAUCGGAUUGAAAAUCAUCCUUCGCCUCCAAUUUCUAUCGACAGACAACAAGUUGAAUCUCUCACUGAAAAUGUUACCUUCUUGCAGGAUUUUCUUGAUGGUUAUAUUUCCCCAGUUGUGGAUGACCAUGAGGCGGAUCCAUUGGAGCGUCGCAUUGCUGAUGCAGUUUUUGCAGCUGAGGAUGUCAUCGAAUCCCAAAUUGUGCUUCAAAUUGAUAACCAAUCCACAAUUAUUGGGAAGAUUCAUUUACACUAGAUCGAAUAUUUCUAUCACGAUCUACAACAAGUGAUAGAAGAAAUGAUUUGAUCAAGAGGAAGCCAUGGAGAGCAACCGCAGCUGAUCAACUGCAGAGAAAGGUUCCUCAACUCAUGUGCUCCUCUUCCACUGUGAAGGAAAGCAUAUGGUGGGUUGACGAGGUGUUAUUAAGUGCUGGAUAGCUCACCGAGCAACACAGUCGCCAAAUCAUCCCAAUUAUGGGGAUGGGCGGCAUUGGUAAGACCACUCUUGCCCGACAUGUAUUUCAGCAUGCGUUGUUAAAACAUUUUAUAUUUGUGCUUGGAUACAAUUUCUCAAACUUAUAAUGUAGAGAAACACUUAGAAAGUUCUUUUCUCAAGCAAGUGGAAUUCGGUGUGAUUGAGUGAGGGAAUUGGGAUUAAACUAACCAGUAUUUAUGGAGAGGUAUCUCAUAAUUUGGACGAUAUGUGGAGUAUAGAGGUGUGGGAUAAGAUCAAGUUUUUCUUUCCUUGUUACAAUGAUGGGAGUCGAAUAAUUAUAACAACUAGGCUGUCAAACUUGACUUCGCAGCUGGGUCAGUCUUAUGGCGUUGGUAUGAAAUUUCUAGAUGAGGCUAGUAGUUGGGAUUUGUUCAGUAAGACUGUGUUUGGGGGAGAAAGUUUUCCUCCUGAGUUGGAGGAUAUUGGAAAGAAAAUUGUAGCAAAUUGUAAAGGGCUUCCUUUAUCAAUUGCUACAAUUGGAGGUCUUUUGGCAAAAUUUGAGCGGACUAGAGAAUAUUGGGUGCAUAUAGAGCAAAAUCUAAAUUCAAUUGUGAUUAGGAAUAAUGAUGAAUUUUGCUUGAAAAUAUUGCGACUGAGCUAUACCUAUCUGCCCAACUAUUUGAAGCCAUGCUUUUUGUAUAUGGGUGUUUUUGAGGAAGAUCGUUCAAUUCGUGUCUCAAUGCUGAAGAAGCUAUGGGUUUCAGAAGGAUUUUUAAAAUCCGUGAGUGGAAAAUGCUUGGAAACAACAGCAGAAGAGUACUUGAAGGAGUUGGUAGAUAGAAAUCUAAUUUUAGUUGAUAAGUUGGGGGUUAGUGGAAAUGUAAAGUUUUGUAAGAUUCAUGAUUUGUUGAGGGACUUAUGCUUGAAAGAAGUUGAAAAGGAGAGGUUUUAUCAUAUCAUAAAAAAGUCUCCUUCAGUCAUAGAUAACGAACCUCGUCGGUUUGUUUUUCAAAAUGUUGGAAGUAGGGUGGCAAGUGAGGUCUUGGGAUCUUUCUCACAUGCUCGUUCUAUAAUACGUGAUGACAAGGCGAAACACUUUGAAAGGCCUCACAAUCUGAGAUUGUUGAGAACAUUCAAAGCAUAUGAUAGAGAUACUUCAGAUCCAAUUGCACGUGAUCUUCAUUUCCUAGACGAUGUUUUUCAAUUGGUGAACUCACGGCACCUUGCUGUUAGAGUUCAUAGGAACUCCAAAUUCCCAUCUUCGAUCAAUUUGCUUUGGAAUCUAUAUACGUUAAUAGUUGAUAUUCAGCAUAUCUAUUGCACCGUUGAGAUUUGGAAAUUGCAUCAACUUAGGCAUCUCGAGUUUGGAAAGAUUGAUUCUCCCAGCUCCUCCGAGUGAGAUGGUUAUCAUGGAGAAUCUACAAACGCUCAAAGGAGUAAUGAAUUUGUAUUUGAGUGAGGAUGUGGUUAAAAGAAUCCCCAAUGUGAAGAAACUGCAUCUAAUUUACGAUGCCAAAGAAAUGGAGAGAGCAAAGUACUGUUUGAACUAUCUUGAGUGUCUGAGUAAAUUGGAAAACUUGUGUUGCGACACCUUUAUGGGAUAUGAUGAGUAUUUGCAGAGGAUUAGUUUCCCACUCUCCCUCAAGAAGUUGAAGUUAUGUCUCUCUUCCUCUGGUUAUUAUAAUCUGGAGUUGGAAGAGAUAUUGGAAAAGAUAGGGUGGUUGCCCCUUCUUCACAAGUUAGUAUUAGAUGGUGGUACCUUCAAAACAGGCAAGUGGGAGACUAUUGAGGGCCAAUUCCGGAGCCUCAAGCUACUACAGUUGGAGUAUUGUAAAGGUCUAACAAAUUGGACAAUGGCAGAGAGCUCCCACUUUCCAGUUCUCCAGGAGCUUCAUCUUCAAGGUUUGACUAAAUUGGAGGAGAUUCCUUCAGAAGUUGGAGAGAUAGCAACGCUGAAAUCAAUUCGUUUGAUGUAUUGCAGUGAUUCAGCGGUAGUGUCAGCUAAAAAGAUAGUAGAAGAACAAGAGGAUUUGCAAGGAGACCAACUAGAGCUUCAUGUUCGAGUUCAUCUUUGGGACAGAAACGGAACACUGCAGAGCUUGGCAAGUCCCAACUUUGAAGUUACAGUGAGAAGUACCUUUUAGAAUCAUCCAAGAUUGUUAGUUACAAGUUCAGACCUUUUGUUUCGUAAGCUUAUCAAACUUUGAGCUUUUGUUGCUUCAUUGGUAAACGUAAAUGCUUUUAUCAAAUGAUGUUUUCUAAUUCCUGUUUCUUUUAUAUUCCCUCCGUCCAUGAUUCAGUGCCCCAUCUAGGUGUGGGCACGGAGACUAAGAAAGCUGAAAAAGGUGUUGUGAUGAAAUAUAAGGGUAGUUGACUAAAGUGAUAAAGUGAUAAAGUGUACUAAAUAUAGAAUAUAAAAGUGAAAAAGGUGUUUGAAGGUGGGUCCAUUAGUGGCAAAGGGUAGUAAAUAUAGAAAAAGUAGGAGAGUAAAAGGGUACAAAAAGCAAAACAGGGCAUUCAAUUGUGGACACUUUUUAAAGGCCAAACAGGGCACUGAAUCAUGGACGGAGGGAGUAUAAAACUAGAAUGGGCGUAACUAUAGUCUAUAAUACUAUAAUAAAGAAAGUUGCUGUUUGAUAACAUUAAUUUUUGUUUUUUGUCGGAAUACCUUUAUUUGUUUAACAAAUACUAAUUUUUAGGGUAAAUAUCACUUUAAACCCCAAACUAUUUUCGCACUAUCAAUUAUAUCCUGAACUAUCAAAAAUAAUUUUUUAAACCUUGAACUAUUAAUUUUGUAUCAAUUGUACCAUUCGUUCAUUUUUUUAGUUUCAAAAUUUUGACGUGGCUCACCGGAUACCACAAUGCAUUUAGAAUCAUUCUUUUUUUUACCUAUAUUAUAUAGAACGACGUGAUUAUAUGCAUUACUCAUUAAAAAUUAAAAGGAUGAAAAAUAGAUAGAGGGUACAAUUGAUACAAAAUUGAUAGUUCAAGGUUUACAAAAUUAUUUUCAAUAGUUCAGGAUAUAAUUGAUAGUGCGAAAAUAGUUUGGGAUUUAAAGUGAUAUUGUCACGACCGGUCUUAACUAAGGAUAGGUAAGCCGGGAAACCGUGACUAGGGAAGGGAAAUUAGGAGAGGGGACAGAAAAGGGGUGAUAAAUAAUAAUAAAGGAAUUGAACUAAGAUUGAGACAUCAUAUGAGAAAAAAAACACACAUAAAUAGAUAAGAGCGAGUAAUCGGUCAAGAGUAUCCGAUUUAAGUGUUUAUACAAUAACUUGAUUUGACAAUCCAACAUAAUAGGAUAAUAUGCAUCAUAACUGAGUGUUCGCAGCGGAAAUAGAACGUGAUACAUGUAUGAAGACAUGUAUCGCCAAGAGUUUAUUUAGUAAAUAUGACAAAGCUCCGCACGACACCCCCAUCAUCACUCAUCACUGCUCAACCUGCACAUUUAGAAAUACAUGCAGGGCUGAGUACAAAGUACUCAGUAGACAUAUGCCGAAAAUCAUAUACAUACAUAAUAAAUGUAAAUUGUCAUGCCAUUUCAAUAGUAUAACCAAGGGUUUUUACUUAAAAAGGCCCUAAGCAUACUAAAUUCAUUUGUGAUUCUAAAGUUCGUCUGAUCAGACUAAGUUCUUUUGUAAUCUAUCAUAUCUGAAUCUGUGUGCCGGAGAGGUGGCCACCUCUCACGGUCACUUGACCGGCCAACCCGCUAGAUGACUCACGGUCACUGGUGUACACUAGCCAAGGCAGGAUAGCUAUCAACUGCUCAAGACCCGAAUUCGAUUACAUGAUAACUGGCAAAGCCAUAUCAGAUAGAUAUCAUACUGAAAUUAAAACAUUUUAUGGCAAGACAAUACUUGAAUUAACUUCAAUUCAAAGAUUUUGUCAUGAAAUAACUUGCUUGAACGUAACAGUUAAAUUCAUUUGAUAUAUAUGAAAGUAAUGCCUACCUGAUUGCAGUGUUUUGCUACUUAAGACAAUGAUUCUCUUUCCUUAGCGCGAUAGGUUACUCAGGCGCUUUUGUUUAUUUGAACCUUUGAUAACACGAAACAUGUGUUCGAGUGAAUAAUAGAAAAGAUAACAACAAAUGCAGUGAAUCACUAUUCACUCAUUUCUCUAACUACCCAUAUUUCCUUAAACGACUGUAUCUAACUCAUAUACAAUCGUUCUUCUUUUUAUCGAAAUACUUCAUGUACCUUUGAGGAUGUAGGAAAGCCCAUUUUAUAUUAUUCCUUUAUUUAUCCAUUAUAAAUAAAGAAUAAUUUAUAAAAUAUUUUCCUUUUCCCCAUUUAAUAAUGCCAAUCAAUAUAUAUAUAUAUUGCUACUAUUAAAAGAACUAAUAAGUCAUUAAUAAAUUACUAAACAUUAAUUCCUGAUGAAAAUUUCAUUGUGAGAUUUUAGGAACAUUUGUAAAAAUAUUUUAAAAUAAUAAAAGGAGUUAACUAUAAAAAGAAAUUUUCGAGAAGAUCUAAUAAUUUUAAUAUUUUAACCAUUUAAUUAAUAAAUCUUUAAUAUUUCAUUUAUCAACUAUUCCAUCUAAUAUAAUUUUACCAACAAGUUCUCAUGAAAUCUUUCUCAGAAUAUUUAUAUAUCUCAAUAGCUCAUUUAUAAACUAAAAGUGAUAUUUUAUCAACAAUAAAACUUUAAAAUCCUUAAUAAGAAUUAUUUUGAAUCAUUUCCAUCUCAACAAAAACUGUAUAUAUUCAACUUCAACUAAUAAACUGCUUUUACUCCGAACUCGUAUGGAGUCUAAUUUUAUAUCAAUAGAAACCUCUUUGAGUCUAGUUUAUUAAAAAAAAAGUAUGUUGAAAAACUCCAAGUAGUUUAAGAGAUAUAGCGAUUUUUCCCAUCGCCUACCAGAUUCGGCAGUUUCUGCCAACUGAAAGUCCAGAUUUUUGAAAAAUAGCAAACGUUACCUGAAUGAGCUCAAAUUUUAUAUGUAGAUAGCUAACACAUAUAUCUUCAUAGAAUAAAAAUUUGAGAGCUAAAUAUCAACAUAUGGUUACUGAAAUAAUUAACUUAAUCAUCUGCCUCACGACAGUUUUAGCAGAUACGGGCAGUAGACUUCUCGAAUUUUAAAAGGGUAGUAAACGAAGUUCAAAUGAUAUGAAACUUUGUACGAAUAUUUACCACACUCCCAUCUAUACCCCAGAAAUUUCUCAUAAUAUAAUAGAAACGGGAAUGCAUCGAAAUAGGGCGUCAACUUACCCUUGUCCAAGUGAGCACUAAUGGAAGUUGUUCGCCGGGGUUUUUUUNAUAUCCUGAACUAUCAAAAAUAAUUUUUUAAACCUUGUAACUAUUAAUUUUGUAUCAAUUGUACCAUUCGUUCAUUUUUUAGUUUCAAAAUUUUGACGUGGCUCACCGGAUACCACAAUGCAUUUAGAAUCAUUCUUUUUUUUACCUAUAUUAUAUAGAACGACGUGAUUAUAUGCAUUACUCAUUAAAAAUUAAAAGGAUGAAAAAUAGAUAGAGGGUACAAUUGAUACAAAAUUGAUAGUUCAAGGUUUACAAAAUUAUUUUCAAUAGUUCAGGAUAUAAUUGAUAGUGCGAAAAUAGUUUGGGAUUUAAAGUGAUAUUUACCUUACUUAAAAGAGUGUGUUUGCUUUGAGGCAUAAGGAAGGGAUAAGCUACAUUUACCACCUUAUACCUCGUUUGUUAUGAAAAAAUUUGUGCAGGUUGUAUAAUUUUUCAGAAAGAGAUAAUUUUAUACCUUUCUAAGUGGUAUAAUUUUAUACCACCUUGUAAGGAAUAGAUAAAUAUAUUAUCCUUCAAACCAAACAAGAUAUAAAAAAUGUGAUUCCCACUUUAAGUGAUAAAUUUAUACCUCAUUAUAUUAUCCCUCCAUUUAGAGGGAUAAAAAGCAAAUAUACCAAAUUAUAUUGAUAUUACUAGCAAAAAAAAGUGUACAUUGUAAUGAAUGCAUAAGUAAUGUUAUUUUAUUUGAUAAAACUAAAAAAUAUAAAUAUAAUACUUCUUCCGUCCCCCAAAUAACUUUCUAGGAGGGUGGGGCCUGAGUUUUUUAAGACGAAAUGUGAAAAAUAAUUGGGUAAAAUAAAAUAUUGGAAGUGGUGAAAAUGUGAAAAAUAAGUUUAAAUGAGGAAUUAAUUGUGGUGGGAUUGUGUCCAAAAAUGGAAAGAGAAUUUUUUUUUUUGGAUGGAUCAAAAAGAAAAAUUAGGCAGAUAUUUGAGGGACGAUGGAAGUAUUUAUUAAAUUUAAAUUUUUAAUUAACAAUUUGGUCUAUUUGAUCCUAUAAUUAUAAUAAAACCUCUUUUAAACCCAACUAAAUAAAUAAAUUCUAUAAAUCAACAUAUUUCUUUGGUCCUGACUUGGGUCAAUAUAAAAAUCAUCGAUUUAAAUAAAAAUAAUAAAAUAAUAUUUUUUUGAGAAUUCCUUAUAGAUAUAUAGGUUUUGGUAAUAUUAUAAAUUUAAUAAUUGUUAAAAUAUAACAAUUAUAAAUAUUGAAAAAUAAUUUGGAAAUUUUGAUUUUCAAAAGUAUUGUUGUAAAAUCGGGUUGGGCAGAGGGGCCCAAAUGCCUUGCAAAAAUAUAAAGGGAGUGAGUUGGGUUGCUUACAUCCAUAUUAUAUAGUAAUACAAUAUCCUACAAGUUUGGGUUAAUGUUUAAAUCCAUCCUAAACUAAUACAAAAAAAAAAAAGACUGAAAUAGUACCCUUUGGAACAUCAACGAAGGUCUUCAUAACCAAUAUUGUCCUUUCACUUGUCAAUCUACAAAGCAAAGUAGUUUAAAGAGUUAUAUGCAUUAUUUAGAUAUUAUAAUAGUGAGAUAUAAAUUUUAUGGAUUAUUUGACAAACCUCAUGAAUCACACAAGAAGCUCAAUCCUCACGAACCUCGUCAAUCUCACGUUGAGAAUACUCUGAUUUAUAACUGGAACAACAUAAGUGCAUAACAUUGUUUUUAGUAAUUAUAGUAAACGUUAGCAACAAAUAAAUGCAUUUUCGUUACCAAUUUGGUCAUAGAAAUGGAGUCGUCACUUUCAAAUGCCUUUACUAUCUCUUUCAUAAACCUCAUCACAUAAAACCCGCAUUAUUUUGAAUCAGGUUGCACAACACCCUAUGUUGGAAAAUAUGAUAGGUUUGUAAUUAAAAAAUAAAGACUAAUAUAGCUACCAAUAAAAAUACUGACCUUAAUUUACAACUUCCCAACUUGGUGCUUUCUUGAAUUGUCUUUUGUCCUUGUUUGCAUUGAAAAUUGUCAUUGCCUUCAAAGAAAAGUAAUGGUACAUUAACAUUAAUAUCUUUUACGAAAGCAAUGAAAUUACUGCAAAUCCUAAAACAUACGUGUCGACCACAGAUUUCCAUGUUGCAUCACGAUUUCAAUGAGAAAUAGGGUCCAUCAAAUAGAUAUGAUCUUUGAAGGGCUGAAUGACUGUCAAAACCCAAUGUUCACUAUCCAUCAAAUAGCGCUAUGGGUUUCAGAAGGAAUUUUGAACCCAAUGAGUACCGGCAAAUGCUUGGAAACAAUUGCGCAAGAGUACUUAAAGGAGUUGGUCAAUAGAAAUCUGAUAAUAGUUGAUGAAUUGGGGUCUAUUAAUGGAAAUGUUAAGUAUAAUAUUGUAAAAUUCAUGAUCUGUUGAGGUGCUUGAAAGAAGUUGAAAAAGAGAGGUUUUAUCAUACCAUAGAAAAGUCUCCUUCAGUAAUAGAUAACUGCUAGAAGUAGGGUACGUAGUAAGUGACGUCUUGGGAUCUUUGUCACAUGUUAGUUCUAUAAUAUGUGGUUGGGGGGGGGGGGGGACUUUGAAAUGCCUCACAAUUUUAGAUUGUUGAGAACAUUCAAAGCAUAUGAUAGAGAUACACAUCCAUCAUUCGAUGAUUAUGCUGCGGGGCUUAUUUUUAAUUUCCUAGCUACAUCAUUUUAAACAACACUACAAAAUUGCAUAAUGAAUAUACCCAAUUGUGGUUCUACCUUAAAAUUUGUAUAUAAUAAAACUUAUUUUCUAAUGUCACGUUUAUUUUUCACUAAUCACACAAUUUUCAAUAAAUCUAUCAAUAUAAAAUUUGUAAUUAUUUAUAAAAAAUAAAUUUUAAAAAGAAAAAAAAAUGCACAUGUGUAUAACACGUAAUAUAUAUAUAAAUAUAUAUAUAUAAUUUCGUGCAUUAAUGUAUCCGGGGCAAUUUCGAUGUUGAAAAGUUAUUUAAUUUAAUUUAACAAUCUUAAUAAGAGAGAACUUUGCUACUAUUGGGAGGAAUAGUACUAUUCAAAAAAUAGUGCCCAGGGUAUUUUGGUAAUUUUGAUUUCAUUUGUGGGUUUUUUGCAAAAAACAAAAUUCUGCUUUAUCUUUCUCUCCACAGAUUUUUCUUCACUUUCACUUUUUACUACCACCUGCGUUUACAGCUUCAUAGCAAAAAAAAUAGAUUUCCUGUCAGAAUAUUUGCCGGUGAAAGUGCGAAAUCUGAUCAUAAUCCCAACAAAAAAUCACACUAGACAAGUCCAUUACACCAACAAAACAAGGAGGUGAGCUUUGUUCUGCACCCUGCUUUUAUCAUUUUCUUUUUUAUAACCCUAGAAUUUUUACAAGAAACUGAGCUCAGAAUAACAUAAUUGAAUUAGUCUUGGGGCUGGGUUUCUUGCUUUGUUGUUUGCUUUGAGGGUGCAGAUCGGGAACAUCGAGUCUUGGCUGAGUUUUAGCUAAGUUGUGGCUCAAUUUCUUGUGUCGUUGUCUGCGUUGAGAGUACUAGCCGGCGUCGGUAUCGCCAUCAGCAGCGGCUUUCUUAGCUGUUGAUAGUCGGACCGAGGUGAGAAGAGUGGGUCGACGAUGGGAAAUAACAGUGAGGUCCACGAGAGAACAAGCUAUUUUCUGGUUAUUCAUUGGAAAUUAAGAAAACAGGGGAAGAAGAAGAAGAGGGAUUUGGGGUUGAGAUUUACUCUUUAUUGCAAAUGUGAAAUGUACAUAGAGAAAUGAAGGUGUGAGAGAGAAAGAGAGUUAGAAUUUUACAAGAAACUGAGCUCAGAAUAACACAAUCGAAUUAGUCUUGGGGCCGGGUUAAUUUCUUGCUUUGUUGUUGUUCUGAAUUUUGGAGAAUGGGGUUCUAUUCUAGGACUAGGAGCAGAUUGGGUUAUUGCCUUUAGCCUGUAGGUUUUUUAAGGAUUCAUUACUUUGUGUUAUACGUGAUUAUUAUUUUCGGUUUCUGGUUUUCAACGGGCGCCCUGAGGGUCCACUUGUCUUUGCUCCCAUCAAAUUUGUUUCGGUGAGUCUCUGCCCUACUUUGAUUACAUAAUAGUAUUUUUGAGUUUCAUUUUCUUUUCAUAUUUUAUUAUAUCACCUGUUAAAUUACUGACUUCUCAUGCGUCAGGACUUUGACCAUAUUUUUCAGAUAUAUUAUUAUGGCAAAAAGAAGAUGUGUGCUUUCAAUGGAAGGUUACUUACUGUUGAGCUUUCUGUUUUUAUUUUAUUUUGUAACUCAUUUGUAUCACUCGCACACUUACCUUUAUUUAUUUCUUGUUUUUGUUUUGAAGUAUGGUGUAUGAGAAUUUUAAUUAUUAUAUAAUGCAUGUUGCCAGAUGUGUAGUCGCACCUACUAUUUACUUUCCAAUUCUUUGUUGCUUUUAUCUGUUUUGAUGCAGAUUUAAUAUUAUUUUUGUGUUCAGAUGGCUCAGACGGCCACGUGACAACUUCAAGAUGUUUAUUUUUUAGUUUACCUCCUCCGUCUGCAAAUGAUAUGGCUAUGCCAAUUUUCUUUGGCUUUGAGUGUUCACAUUCUCUAACUACUCAGUCGAGAAGUUUGCGAGGUGCAUAAUGUUUGUUGAAUUGUAUCUAGAUUUGCACAAUUUAAUUUAACAUUAUGUGGGAUUGCUUAGCAAGUGAUGUUGCUAUUAUUUUUUUAUUGGCCAUGGUUUUUAAUUUUCAGAUAAGACUUCGAAAAUAAGAAAGAGACAUGUUCUCGUUGUUGACACUGGUGGGAGUGUUCCAAUCUCACAAGUGACAGGUUAAGAUUUCUCUUGUAUUUAUUUUAAAUUUCUUUAGAGUUUUUAAGAAUUUACAUAUAUUUGAAA
rnacentral:lncRNA from 1 species